rnacentral:rRNA from 1 species
UACGUAGGGGGCUAGCGUUGUCCGGAAUCAUUGGGCGUAAAGCGCGCGUAGGCGGUCAGGUAAGUCCGGUGUGAAAGUCAAAGGCUCAACCUUUGAAUGCCGCUGGAUACUGCCUGACUUGAGUCCGGAAGGGGCGAGUGGAAUUCCUGGUGUAGCGGUGAAAUGCGCAGAUAUCAGGAGGAACACCAAUUGCGAAGGCAGCUCGCUGGGACGUUACUGACGCUGAGACGCGAAAGCGUGGGGAGCAAACAGG